AUAAAUAACUAGGGGUGCCCAAUAAGUUGGGCUGAGAAAGAAACACGAUGAAGUUUCUUGACUCUUGGGACCUGAUCUGGAUCAUACCAGCGUGGGGAAGUUAGAAUAGACAAUC
rfam:Bacillus sp. OV166 genome assembly, contig: Ga0115450_11